UCGAGAAUUUUUCUCAAUGGGGGAAACCCUGAAGGAGCGACGCCGCGUGGAGGAUGAAGGUUUUCGGAUUGUAAACUCCUGUCAUUGGGGAACAAUUGUGUGGGGAGUAACUGCCCUGCACUUGAUAGUACCCGAAGAGGAAGGGACGGCUAACUCUGUGCCAGCAGCCGCGGUAAUACAGAGGUCCCAAGCGUUGUUCGGAUUCAUUGGGCGUAAAGGGUGCGUAGGCGGUGAAGUAAGUUGGAUGUGAAAUCCCAGGGCUCAACCCUGGAACUGCAUUCAAUACUGCUUUGCUAGAGUACUGGAGAGGAGAUUGGAAUUCACGGUGUAGCAGUGAAAUGCGUAGAUAUCGUGAGGAAGACCAGUGGCGAAGGCGAAUCUCUGGACAGUUACUGACGCUGAGGCACGAAGGCUAGGGGAGCAAACG
rnacentral:rRNA from 1 species